rnacentral:misc_RNA from 1 species
GUGAUGUAGUGAUUCUUUUAGCCAUGUUAUCAUGUUGAUUAUUGACUUAUGAUGAUGUAUACCAAAAUUGGGUUGAAUUGAGGGUUUAUGGUAAGACCUUGAUUAUGAACUAUUAAGGAGACUUGGUAAGUCUUAUGAUCUCUAUCCAUUACUUCAAAUUGUGGUUAAUUAUGAUUAAGUCAUGAUGUUGUAUUGGAGUAUGCCUUGUAUUAAGAUUGAUAGGAUGGUAUGAUGUUGAAUUGAA